CCGAGUUGAUUCGGGCUCCGGCCCGAUCCUCCCACCCUUUGUGUACCUACCUCUGUUGCUUUGGCGGGCCGCGGUCCUCCGCGGCCGCCCCCCUUCCCCGGGGGGUGGCCAGCGCCCGCCAGAGGACCAUCAAACUCCAGUCAGUAAACGAUGCAGUCUGAAAAACAUUUAAUAAACUAAAACUUUCAACAACGGAUCUCUUGGUUCUGGCAUCGAUGAAGAACGCAGCGAAAUGCGAUAAGUAAUGUGAAUUGCAGAAUUCAGUGAAUCAUCGAAUCUUUGAACGCACAUUGCGCCCUUUGGUAUUCCGAAGGGCAUGCCUGUUCGAGCGUCAUUACAACCCUCAAGCUCUGCUUGGUAUUGGGCACCGUCCUUUGCGGGCGCGCCUCAAAGACCUCGGCGGUGGCGUCUUGCCUCAAGCGUAGUAGAACAUACAUCUCGCUUCGGAGCGCAGGGCGUCGCCCGCCGGACGAACCUUCUGAACUUUUCUCAAGGUUGACCUCGGAUCAUUCUGGG
rnacentral:rRNA from 1 species